GCGAACCGGGGGAACUGAAACAUCUAAGUACCCCGAGGAAAAGAAAUCAACCGAGAUUCCCCCAGUAGCGGCGAGCGAACGGGGAGGAGCCCAGAGCCUGAAUCAGCAUGUGUGUUAGUGGAAGCGUCUGGAAAGGCGCGCGAUACAGGGUGACAGCCCCGUACACAAAAGCGCAUGUGCUGUGAGCUCGAUGAGUAGGGCGGGACACGUGGUAUCCUGUCUGAAUAUGGGGGGACCAUCCUCCAAGGCUAAAUACUCCUGACUGACCGAUAGUGAACCAGUACCGUGAGGGAAAGGCGAAAAGAACCCCGGCGAGGGGAGUGAAAAAGAACCUGAAACCGUGUACGUACAAGCAGUGGGAG
rnacentral:rRNA from 1 species